GUUUUGUUGGAGAAGUUAAGGUUUUGAAAGACUGUGUUUAAGAGAAAGAUUGAUAUAAUUGUAAUUGUUGAUCAUAUUUAUGUGACUGGAGUUAAUGAUAAAAGUCAACUAUUGGACGGAAGUGCUGAUAAUUACAAAGAAAACUAUUAGUGAAAAUACUGUCGCGGUCGCCGGAUUGUCGAAUUCGGACGCUGAUUGACAAUUCAGAUGAAAAUAAAAAAGGCAAGGCGAGGAGGGAAUUAUCGGGGGCAGUAACUGUGUAAAACCAUCGAAAAGGCAUGUCAGUAGCUCAGGAUACUUCAUGGCAUAAACUGGGUUUCUGCAGUCUAAAAUCACACACAUUCUUGAUGUCCAAGCAAAAGUAUGGAGGGCAGAUAGUGAAGUAGGUCAUGUCUCAUCGUAUCUGUGAAACAUAUCUGUGAAACGUGCCAGUGGCGGCAAAGAAACCAGACCGGCCAGGUUGCACGUGCACAUGCCUGU